GUUGGGAUGUGGACGUGUUGAUCGCUAACCGGGUCAGGUCUGGAAAGAAGCAGCUCUAACGUUCGUAGCGGGUCACAGUUUCAAUCUCUCACUU
rnacentral:SRP_RNA from 1 species